rnacentral:rRNA from 1 species
AUACGGAGGGUCCGAGCGUUAAUCGUAAUUACUGGGCGUAAAGCGCGCGUAGGCGGCUAUAUAAGUCAGAUGUGAAAUCCCUGGGCUCAACCUAGGAACUGCAUUUGAAACUGUAUGGCUAGAGUAUGGUAGAGGUGAGUGGAAUUUCAGGUGUAGCGGUGAAAUGCGUAGAGAUCUGAAGGAACAUCAGUGGCGAAGGCGACUCACUGGGCCAUUACUGACGCUGAGGUGCGAAAGCGUGGGUAGCAAACAGGAUUAGAUACCCUAGUAGUCC